GCCUUAAAUGUCUUCUCAAUGUCAACUCAAAAUGGUUUAUUUAUAAAUUCUUGCUUUGCUCAUUGCCAAUCUGAGAGACAGGAUACAUGGUUUGCUGCUGAUUCUCCCCUCCUCCAGAACAAGAGGAUUGCUCAAUCUGUUGGAGACUGGUAUUUUGAUCGAGUUGAUGUUAAAGCUAUUGACUGUGCAUACCCCUGUGACAACACUUGCCAUAAUCUAGUUU
rnacentral:misc_RNA from 1 species